rnacentral:rRNA from 1 species
UGGGGGUGAGCGGCGGACGGGUGAGUAACGCGUGGGAACGUGCCCUCUUCUGGGGAAUAGCCACUGGAAACGGUGAUUAAUGCCCCAUACGCCCUUCGGGGGAAAGAUUUAUCGGAGGAGGAUCGGCCCGCGUUAGAUUAGGUAGUUGGUGGGGUAACGGCCUACCAAGCCGACGAUCUAUAGCUGGUUUGAGAGGAUGAUCAGCCACACUGGGACUGAGACACGGCCCAGACUCCUACGGGAGGCAGCAGUCGGGAAUCUUGGACAAUGGGGGAAACCCUGAUCCAGCCAUGCCGCGUGUGUGACGAAGGCCCUAGGGUCGUAAAGCACUUUCGCCUGGGAAGAUAAUGACGGUACCAGGUAAAGAAACCCCGGCUAACUCCGUGCCAGCAGCCGCGGUAAUACGGAGGGGGUUAGCGUUGUUCGGAAUUACUGGGCGUAAAGCGCACGUAGGCGGACCUUUAAGUCGGGGGUGAAAUCCCGGGGCUCAACCCCGGAACUGCCUUCGAUACUGGGGGUCUGGAGUCCGAGAGAGGUGAGUGGAAUUCCGAGUGUAGAGGUGAAAUUCGUAGAUAUUCGGAGGAACACCAGUGGCGAAGGCGGCUCACUGGCUCGGUACUGACGCUGAGGUGCGAAAGCGUGCGGAGCAAACAGGAUUAGAUACCCUGGUAGUCCACGCCGUANACGAUGAGUGCCAGUCGUCGGGCAGCAUGCUGUUCGGUGACGCAGUUAACGCAUUACGCACUCCGCCUGGGGAGUACGGCCGCUAGGUUAAA